GGCUUUUAAUGAGUUGAUGUGAAAAGCUGCACGCACAUUAGACUUUUUUUUCCUGGUGUCCCAGAGGGAGAAGGCAGCCUGGCAGGUCUGCAUCCUUUGAGUACCACCUCUGCUGCUACUUACAGGUUAUAUGAAGAUGCUGGCAAGGAUAUGGAGAAAGAGGAACACUCCUCCAUUGUUAGUGGGAUUGCAAGCUUGUACAACCACUCUGGAAAUCAGUGAAGCAGUUCCUCAGAAAACUGGACAUAGUACUACCGGAGUAUCCCACAAUACCUCUCCUGGGCAUAUAUCCAGAAGAUGUUCCAACCGGAGACAUGCUGUACUCUUGGAACUUUCUCGACAAAAGAAAACAUGCAUAAGACUCCUCACCUCUCUGCUUCUGCCCAUAAAACUUUCCUCUGAUUCAAAGGAAUCCAGCCAUCUCUCGUUAACUCACUCAGCCUUGAUUCAUUUAAUCACUCUAAAGCUCUGCUAAGUACUUGUUAUGUGCUGUGAAUGAAACUGUUGCUAAGUACAAGCAAAUAAACAUUGCCACUUUCCUAAUGUGGUAUCUAACAGGCACAGGGUAGUGAAAUGAGCCCUAUGGAAGAGCUGUGGGCAGGGCAACCUAAAGGAGGUUGACAACUUAAUGGCAAGUAGGAGAGCAUUUUUGAGAGAGAGUGUACUUAAAUUACCAUUCAAAUGUAAGAAAACUUAGACUGCAAAAGUGGGAAGGAAGGUCUUUGGGAGAGAAGAGUAAGAUUCUGAAGAUCUUGAGAUACAAAGAAAAAAAAUGAAACAUUUAGGAUAAUGGCUAGCAGAAAAUUUGAAAGUCAGGAGAGUGAAAGCUUCAGUUUUGCAGUCAAUCUUAAAUAUGAAUCUGAAUGUAUAUUUCCCUUCCUGGAAACUUUUCACUAGCUUCCAAACACUUAUGGAAUAAAGAAUGUAUGUCAGUG
rnacentral:lncRNA from 1 species